rfam:Aedes aegypti strain Liverpool supercont1.540 genomic scaffold, whole genome shotgun sequence.
CCUCUCAUGGCGUAGUGGUAACGCGCCCCAACUAGAGAUUGGGGAGUCGUGAGUUCGAUUCUCACUGAGAAGA